rnacentral:rRNA from 1 species
UACGAAGGGGGCUAGCGUUGUUCGGAAUUACUGGGCGUAAAGCGCACGUAGGCGGAUAUUUAAGUCAGGGGUGAAAUCCCGGGGCUCAACCCCGGAACUGCCUUUGAUACUGGGUAUCUCGAGUCCGAGAGAGGUGAGUGGAAUUCCGGGUGUAGAGGUGAAAUUCGUAGAUAUUCGGAGGAACACCAGUGGCGAAGGCGGCUCACUGGCUCGGUACUGACGCUGAGGUGCGAAAGCGUGGGGAGCAAACAGG